UGUACCCUGCCUUUCGCCCGAUGGCAGCUGGGAUUGGCUCCAGCCCCCCCACGAUCCUGUACACAGAAUAAGCGGUUGACGAUGGACAAGUUUUGAAGCAUCAACCAAACUUUGGCCACCGUCAUUUACACUACACAGUGACAUUUUCCGACUCAGUGAGGAUGAAUUCUGACCAGCUAAUUGCACGAUCAAUAAAUGCCACAGAGGUUGCCCGGCCGUCAGUCCCAUUCUUGUGAACACGAUAUCUCAGAAGGUCCUCAAGUUUCUUCGUCGACUCGGACUCAAGGACCAACUGAUUAGAACUUGGUUGUUAAAGGUUAAGGUAAAUGUCAGAGAUCCU